UACGAAGGGUGCAAGCGUUACUCGGAAUUACUGGGCGUAAAGCGUGCGUAGGUGGUUCGUUAAGUCUGAUGUGAAAGCCCUGGGCUCAACCUGGGAAUGGCAUUGGAAACUGGCGACCUAGAGUGCGGUAGAGGGUAGUGGAAUUCCCGGUGUAGCAGUGAAAUGCGUAGAGACCGGGAGGAACAUCCGUGGCGAAGGCGACUACCUGGACCAGCACUGACACUGAGGCACGAAAGCUGGGGGAGCAAACGGG
rnacentral:rRNA from 1 species